GGAGGUAUGGCUUAGUGGUUAAGAACACUGGGUGCUCUUCCCAGUGAUCUGGGUUUGAUUCCCAGCACCACCA
rnacentral:tRNA from 1 species